rnacentral:rRNA from 1 species
UACAGGGGGUGCAAACGUUGCUCGGAAUCAUUGGGCGUAAAGCGCACGUAGGCGGUUCGUUAUGUCGGAUGUGAAAGCCCUUGGCUUAACCGAGGAAGUGCAUCCGAAACUGGCGAGCUAGAGUACUAAAGAGGAUCGCGGAAUUCCCGGUGUAGAGGUGAAAUUCGUAGAUAUUCGGAGGAACACCAGAAGCGAAGGCGGCUCACUGGCCCGAGACUGACGCUGAGGCGCGAAAGCGUGGGGAGCAAACAGG